rnacentral:rRNA from 1 species
CCUACGGGAGACAGCAGUGAGGAAUAUUGGUCAAUGGACGCAAGUCUGAACCAGCCAUGCCGCGUGCAGGAAGACGGCUCUAUGAGUUGUAAACUGCUUUUGUACGAGGGUAAACGCAGAUACGCGUAUCUGUCUGAAAGUAUCGUACGAAUAAGGAUAGGCUAACUCCGUGCAAGCAGCGGCGGUAAUACGGAGGAUUCAAGCGUUAUCCGGAUUUAUUGGGUUUAAAGGGUGCGUAGGCGGUCGGAUAAGUUAGAGGUGAAAUCCCGAGGCUCAACUUCGGAAUUGCCUCUGAUACUGUUCGGCUAGAGAGUAGUUGCGGUAGGCGGAAUGUAUGGUGUAGCGGUGAAAUGCUUAGAGAUCAUACAGAACACCGAUUGCGAAGGCAGCUUACCAAGCUACUUCUGACGUUGAGGCACGAAAGCGUGGGGAGCAAACAGGAUUAGAUACCCCGGUAGUC